rnacentral:rRNA from 1 species
AUUGAACGCUGGCGGCAGGCCUAACACAUGCAAGUCGAGCGGGGUUUUCGGACCUAGCGGCGGACGGGUGAGUAAUGCGUAGGAAGCUACCCGAUAGAGGGGGAUACCAGUUGGAAACGACUGUUAAUACCGCAUAAUGUCUACGGACCAAAGUGUGGGACCUUCGGGCCACGUGCUAUCGGAUGCGCCUACGUGGGAUUAGCUAGUUGGUGGGGUAAUGGCUCACCAAGGCGACGAUCCCUAGCUGGUUUGAGAGGAUGAUCAGCCACACUGAAACUGAGACACGGUCCAGACUCCUACGGGAGGCAGCAGUGGGGAAUAUUGGACAAUGGGCGCAAGCCUGAUCCAGCCAUGCCGCGUGUGUGAAGAAGGCCUUCGGGUUGUAAAGCACUUUCAGUAGGGAGGAAGGGUGUUGUGUUAAUAGCGCAGCAUUUUGACGUUACCUACAGAAGAAGCACCGGCUAACUCUGUGCCAGCAGCCGCGGUAAGAC